GUUCCAUACCCCGUCGAUUCUGUUGCAUAUGUGUUCCAGCGGCAUUACUUUGAGUUGGUUUGCUUGGAUUAUGUGAUGCCGUAACCGCAGCUCGCGAAAAGGUUUGGAUACGCAGUAACUUCUACAAUAGGAAACUUAUGAUUGCAGAAAAAUCCUUCUUAUUUUCGUUUAAUGGCGUGAAUAAGAAUUCGAAUUUUUCGUUCCCUAUUUUGGUUAAAAUAUGCAAGGUAUUUGCUGAAUUCCUUUUGGAUUUCUGGAAUCAAGGACAGCGAUUGCCUUCCAUUAUCUCAACGUAUACGUAGAUUCUUAUUAAUUAUCCUUACAUUGUUGGACGGCUGAGAAGUAACACUAACAAGAGUAUUGUAUCCAAUGGCUAUGAAGAGUAAAAUUGUUGGGAUGAGCAAAAAUUACCAUUGAGCCCACAUGAUAAGUAAGCAAGCAUUAAAAAGUCCUUACUGAGGUUUAGUUUAGCAGUUUUAUGGGAAUACCAUAAAAGUCUGAGAUUUGUCAUAAUCAGGCAACCAGGUUCACCGCUAUUUGCUUUUGUGUCUUCCACGAGUUCUACUCGCUCGAGGACAAAUUCGCCUGGAACCAUAUUCAGCAGACUGGAAAACAUUAAAUCAGCAAACUCGCAAUUAAGCUAUGAGCCCGGUGCAUGGUAACGUAAUUGACAAUGCAAAUCCUACCUUGAACUCACAUCGAAUCGAAUUUCAUUGUCUUGCCAAUGCAUGUUAGGCAUGGUUUUUCUUGCUUUGGUGCACUGUAAAUGCAAUUCUUCAUGUUGAGGCCCUACAUUCUCUUUGUUUUGAACGCGUUGCCAUGGUACCACAUGAAGUCACAGUACGUGUGUUCUUGUGAUGCCGUGACCCGUAUGAUAUUCUAGAUGAGAGACGAGGAGCAUAUUACCAUGUUACAGAAUCCGGACAUAGCGGCUUUGAGGCUUUGAAUAACGGACGAGGGAUUAAAGUUCUGCCGAAGAUAUUCGAUGGACACAAUGG